rnacentral:lncRNA from 1 species
CGCCUAUAAAUGAUUGCAUUGCUGAGAUUGAAGGAUAUCUGAUCCCUUUUGAGGUACUGGAUUAGACUUCUGUUUGCUUCCAUGCCCCGACUUUACUUCAUACGGGCAUCCUUUGACAAAGCUCUGUCUCUGACUUAUGUUGUGCACUGUUUUUUAGUGAGAGAAAGAGAAGUACAUUUGUAAAUAGUUAGAGAGAUAAAGGUUUGCAUUCUUUCAGUGAGAGAGAGAGAGAACAUAAAGAGAUUGUAACAGAAAUACAAAUAGAAGAAGGAACAAGUGGAAAAGGAAAAGGAAAAGGUGCAGUGGUUCUCUCUCUCUCUAACUGAUCAUCAAUCAAGAGGAUAAGGGGCAUAUCUGUGCAAAGUUUGAAUGUGCAUCGGUGUAACUCUGAUAAGGCCACUGUUUAAUUUCUAGAGAAUCAUCG